rnacentral:rRNA from 1 species
UCCCAAAAAUAAACGUCCCAGUUCGGACUGUAGUCUGCAACCCGACUACACGAAGCUGGAAUCGCUAGUAAUCGCGAAUCAGAAUGUCGCGGUGAAUACGUUCCCGGGUCUUGUACACACCGCCCGUCACGCCAUGGGAGCCGGUAAUACCCGAAGUCAGUAGUCCAACCUCGUGAGGACGCUGCCGAAGGUAGGAUUGGCGACUGGGGUGAAGUCGUAACAAGGUACC